UGAAAGCGCGCGCUGGGAAGCGCGCGGUAUAUAUGCGGACCUGAUUAGCGUGUAAACUGCUAUCAGCUGGGAGCAAUACAGACCCACGUGAAUUCCCAGCCAAUGACGGAAACACACGUGUCCCAAUGUCACUACGGUCAACAGCGGAAAAGCAGGUGCUCGCGCAUUCGCGCUUAGAGCACGCUGCUUCAAGGGGGAAUCGUGACAACCCCGUUGUUGAUGAUUUUACGAUAACAUUCUUGUGCGUGUGUGUUGACGAGAGAGUCAGCUGCCGGGAUGCCCAUGGGAACCCAUUGGGGAAAGUGCAGUACAGGGAUAUGGACGUGAUAGACGUGAUAUGGACGUGAUAGCUGAUGAAGUACUGGAGAUCUCCUGCAGGAGAAAAAAGAAGUGCAGAUCUGGGUUUAUAAGGUGGAGUUUCAUGUAAAUGAGGGGGCUUUAGCGUCACCAUUGGUCCAUUACAGCUCCUCUUCUAGCCAAUCAAUCGAAGAGGGGAGGUGACGUCACUCCACUGCGACUCAUGGCUGUGUUGACAGGUGAAGAAAGAUGGAUGACCGUCAGGCAGCAAAUCCCGGACAAUUACAGGCAGUGCUUUUAGAGAGGCUUUUAUCACGACUACAGGAAGCCAUGCAGCGCGUGCCUCUGGACCUGGAUUAUUUAUAUUUUUUCUGCACAAAUAGCAUGAUAUUGAUUAGUGCACACACAAAUCAUGAACAUAUGGCUCAAGGGGUAGUGCAAUGUCUUUCAAACCUGUGUUCUGUUCUUUUUAAUCGACUUUCCUCAUCAGUUGUGAAUGAAAUGGCUGGACCAACGGGACGUCCCAAACUCGGUGUGUCUGAGCAGCAACUUAGACAAUUGACUGAAAUUGGACUGAGUGUACACUUCAUUUCAAAACUGUUUUCCAUGUCAUCACGAACAGUUGAACGGAGAAUGCAAGAGUUUGGGUUGGGUCUCCAACCUUUUUGUGAGCGAGUGCUGUCUGAAGGGAUCAAAUAGUCUAAAGGGAUACUUUUUUUUUCCCAUUAUUUAACCGGAAAAUAAGAAAAGUGAAAUGUUAGAACGUAUUAAAUUGUUAAGUAUAACUUGAAUCAUUUUAAAAAUGAUAAAUUAAUUUGGCUCAAGUUUAAAGUUUACUUAAAUGCAUUUUAGUGUAAGUUUAUCUGUUCCAAUAUUUUUGCUCACCCACCAAAUUUUUUUUUUUUUUAAAUAGUGAUGCCAAAAUGUGUCUGAGGCCCUCUAGUGGCUGCCUGCAGCACAAUUUUUACCUCAGCACAUCCUCAUGUUAGGGAAUGGGACAGUUGGUAAUCAUAAAAUUUUAAGUUGUCAUGUCCACAAGUUAUUUUCCGGAAUAGUGUUCUGUCACGCUCAGUUGACCUUGAUACCCGAUACAAUUUUUGAUCCUCUUUUUUCCCUCAGCAGCUAUAUUAGAAUUAGCACAUUAAUAUAAACCUGUGAUUUAUCUCACAGCUAAACUACUGUUAGAGCUGUUGUUAUAGAAAAUUCAUUAUCCUCAUGAAUUUAACAUAAAAUAUUUCAGUUGGAUUUGAAAAAUCAACACUGUGGAGCUUUGAUAUUAGGCACUGAACUGAUAAGAAAGGAGAAUGAAGAUGAAAGGAGACUACAAGACCGUUCCUGUCUCUGAGCAGGCCGUCAACAAUCAGCUGGCUUUAGCUGAAAUAGCUGGAGAGUCAGCAACAUUGUGAAUCAGACUAAGCAGUAUGCUGAACCCUGUUUGUGUCACAGAGCCGCUAAUAAACUUGCACUUAAGUGUUAGCAGAAGUCGCUUUGUUUUAUUUAAUGAAGGGCAAUGGCUUUUUUACCAGAUUACUACUGCAGCCUCAGUGAAUUUCUGAACGACAAUAACCCAUGCAACCCAUGCAAGUAAACAUUUAUGUCCCAUUACUUUUGGUAUCUGAAUCCGUGAUCUCCGUGAUCAUCUAAAUAAAAACAAUGAUGUUUAUUCAGUGUGCACAUGAACUGGUUAACUCCCCAUUACUUAUUAUUAUUAUUAUUAUUAUUAUUAUUAUUA